rnacentral:rRNA from 1 species
UACGGGAGGCAGCAGUGGGGAAUAUUGCACAAUGGGCGAAAGCCUGAUGCAGCUAUGCCGCGUGUAUGAAGAAGGCCUUAGGGUUGUAAAGUACUUUCAUCGGGGAGGAAAAAACAAAACUAAUAAUUUUAUUUCUUGACGUUACCCGAAAAAGAAGCACCGGCUAACUCCGUGCCAGCAGCCGCGGUAAUACGGAGGGUGCUAGCGUUAAUCAGAAUUACUGGGCGUAAAGAGCACGUAGGUGGUUUUUUUAAAGUCAGAUGUGAAAUCCCUGGGCUUAACCUGGAACUGCAUUUUGAAACUGAAAUACUAGAGUAUCGUAGAGGGAGGUAGAAUUCUAGGUGUAGCGGUGAAAUGCGUAGAUAUCUGGAGGAAUACCUGUGGCGAAAGCGGCCUCCUAAACCGGAAUACUGACACUGAGGUGCGAAAGCGUGGGGAGCAAACAGGGAUUAGAUACC